ensembl:lncRNA
CAAGCGUCCUCGCCGCCAUAACAACGAUGGAGAACAACAACGUGAAUGCUGUCGUCGGCCCAAAUUUCAAGACCUACAAAUCGGAGGAGGCCUUUGUGGACAUAAACAACAUUUUGCGCCGAGGGGACAUCAUUGGCGUCCGCGAUGACGCUUUUGUCUCCUUGUCUGCACAUCCUGCCACACCUGCACUUUGGGCUUAAAGACAAGGUGGGGACCAACAUGGUGGAGUACAUUCAUCAAU